CCCUUAGAUGUUCUGGGCCGCACGCGCGCUACACUGUUUGAUUCAGCGAGUCUUAACCUUGACCGAAAGGUUUGGGUAAUCUUCUAAAGUCAAACGUGGUGGGGAUCGAUCAUUGCAAUUAUUGAUCGUGAACGAGGAAUUCCUAGUAAAUGCAAGUCAUCAGCUUGCGUUGAUUACGUCCCUGCCCUUUGUACACACCGCCCGUCGCUACUACCGAUUGAAUGGUUUAGUGAGAUCUCCGGAUUGGCUCUGUAGGUCCCGCAAGGGAUUUAUUAGUAGCCAAGAAGCUGCUCAAACUUGAUCAUUUAGAGGAAGUAAAAGUCGUAACA
rnacentral:rRNA from 1 species